GAGGUAUGCCUGUAUCAGUGUCCGUACAUCAAACUUUGAUUUCUUCUUCCCGUGUAGUCGGGGGAGGAUAAGCCAGAUGUGAAGUGUCUUACGGCUGAUUUUCGGAUCGGCUGUGAGUCCUUUGAAAUGUACAGAACUGACUCUCUUUGUUCGAAAAGCGUGGCAUUGCUGGUUGUAAAGGCUGUUCAUGUGACCAGUCGGCGAUCGGUUUGUCUGCUGUGGCGUUAAUGGAGGAGUGUUCGAUUCGCGGUAUGGUUGGCUUCGGCUGAACAGAUGCUUAUUGGUCAUUCUUCUUGCUGUGGCGGUAUAACUGAUGAACCGUAGUCGUGUGUGACUUACCUUUUGAAUCGGCGUUGCUGUGCGAAGUAGAGUGACAGUUUCGGCUGUCGAGGGUCGACCCAUUUGGGAAAUUGUGCGGUGCGGCUUCGGUCGCGCGGCAUCUCAAUUGGACCUGAUAUCAGGCAAGAUUACCCGCUGAACUUAAGCAUAUCAAUAAGCGGAGGA
rnacentral:rRNA from 1 species